AUGUCGUGGGGGAUAACGUAGCGAAAGCUACGCUAAUAGCGCAUACGCCCUGAGGGGGAAAGCGGGGGAUUCUUCGGAACCUCGCGCGAUUGGAGCGGCCGAUGUCGGAUUAGCUAGUAGGUGAGGUAAAGGCUCACCUAGGCGACGAUCCGUAGCGGGUCUGAGAGGAUGAUCCGCCACACUGGGACUGAGACACGGCCCAGACUCCUAAGGGAGGCAGCAGUGGGGAAUUUUGGACAAUGGGCGCAAGCCUGAUCCAGCCAUGCCGCGUGAGUGAAGAAGGCCUUCGGGUUGUAAAGCUCUUUCGGCCGGGAAGAAAUCGUGGUCUCUAACAUAGGCCAUGGAUGACGGUACCGGACUAAGAAGCACCGGCUAACUACGUGCCAGCAGCCGCGGUAAUACGUAGGGUGCGAGCGUUAAUCGGAAUUACUGGGCGUAAAGCGUGCGCAGGCGGUUUUGUAAGACAGAUGUGAAAUCCCCGGGCUUAACCUGGGAACUGCGUUUGUGACUGCAAGGCUAGAGUACGGCAGAGGGGGGUGGAAUUCCUGGUGUAGCAGUGAAAUGCGUAGAGAUCAGGAGGAACACCGAUGGCGAAGGCAGCCCCCUGGGCCUGUACUGACGCUCAUGCACGAAAGCGUGGGGAGCAAACAGGAUUAGAUACCCUGGUAGUCCACGCCCUAAACGAUGUCGACUAGUCGUUCGGAGCAGCAAUGCACUGAGUGACGCAGCUAACGCGUGAAGUCGACCGCCUGGGGAGUACGGCCGCAAGGUUAAAACUCAAAGGAAUUGACGGGGACCCGCACAAGCGGUGGAUGAUGUGGAUUAAUUCGAUGCAACGCGAAAAACCUUACCUACCCUUGACA
rnacentral:rRNA from 1 species